UAAAAUAGCAACAAUACUAGGUAAGUGAAGAUUUCCUUGAGCAGGGACAGUGACAUUGGAGGUUUGACGUUUGAAGCAGGUUGAUAAGAUGUUGCAACUAACAUUUGGGAAAAAAAAUUUCUUCUAAUAAGCUAACUUCAUGGAGGAAACCAACGUCAAAACCCGACCUCAUCCUCUCUAUAUGUUCGAACACCUGGAUAACCCAAUUACAUAGGCAUCUUAGGCUAAAUCAUCAAAUGUUGGAAACUUCCUUCUACUCUUCGACCAUCUUGGUAGCUCGAGCACCUCUUUAUCAGGUCAUUUUUCUUCUUUGAAGCCCUUUUUUUUCUAAUUUAGCAUGGGCAUUGGCCUUCUUUCCCCAUAUCUUCGUAGCCUCAAGUUUUAGCUUGCAAACUACAUCAGAACAUUCCUUAUAAGCCAAGGUAUUUUCCAACUUCUUUUCUCUCUCGACCGCAUCUUACUUUCAUCUAUGUGAAGCUUGUUUAGCUUCAACAACUCGCUACGUGGCCAGAAUCUCGUCCCUUAGCUUCACCGCAUUCUCCAACUCCGAUUUUAGCUGCAACAUGC
rnacentral:lncRNA from 1 species